rnacentral:rRNA from 1 species
CAGUAGCCGCGGUAAUACGGAGGGAGCUAGCGUUGUUCGGAAUUACUGGGCGUAAAGCGCGCGUAGGCGGUUACUCAAGUCAGAGGUGAAAGCCCGGGGCUCAACCCCGGAACUGCCUUUGAAACUAGGUGACUAGAAUCUUGGGGAGGUCAGUGGAAUUCCGAGUGUAGAGGUGAAAUUCGUAGAUAUUCGGAAGAACACCAGUGGCGAAGGCGACUGACUGGACAAGUAUUGACGCUGAGGUGCGAAAGCGUGGGGAGCAAACAGGAUUAGAUACCCGGGUAGUCCCUGUCUCUUAUAC